UUUUCCUUUGAGUUUUGUCUUUGAUUUUUUUUUAAAUGUCUUAAUGACAGGUUGAAACUUAAAAGGUGUAUGUGUUACAUGUAAUGUACUGGUCAGCUUUGCUUAAAAUUUAAGAAUGAGCGGAAACUUGGUUAUGCUUUACCACGUUUGUCUCUUGGGGCGCGUGUACACAUAGGAAGGUCUAAGUUAAAUGUACAACUUGAAUUAUAUGUUUAAAAUUACUAUUUAGCCCGCUAUAGUAUUAAUAAUUUAAGUAUUUUAUGGUUAAUUCCUUUUGUUUAUCGGUUGUUUUUUGUGAUUUGCAGAACACGUGCUGUUGGAACUAUGAGUUCGGCUUCAUGUGGUCAGAUAAUGAUCAUACGUUUACCAAAUGGGUGACCACAAACUUAUCCGACUUUAAAAGUCCUUAACAGUCAGAAACUGAUUAUGCAUUUACCAAAUGGAUGACAACACACAUGCAUAUGACUUCGCAAGACCUAAGUGGAUCGACACCGUGACCGGACACUUCAGAUUCAAGAUGCCUCAAGAGAAUGAAUAACCCAUGAUGGCCACACAUAAAGGUGUUUAAUGGAUUUUGAACCACCAGGAGCACCCAGUGCAACAUCCAGAUCGAGAAGCAAGUGGAAGAAGCCUAAAAUGGCAGUUUGGAGUGUUUGAUGCUCUUUGAUUAAAACAAUAGAAAAUAAACUUCUGAUGAAACAAA